rnacentral:tRNA from 1 species
GGUUCUAUAAUUCAGUGGUAGAAUGCCUGCUUUACAUUGUGAUGCGCAGUAUGUCUUGGGUUCGAUCCCCAAUGGAAUCA